UGAGAGCUUUGAGAUGUGGUUCCUGC
rnacentral:piRNA from 1 species